rnacentral:rRNA from 1 species
CACGUAGGGCGCAAGCGUUGUCCGGAUUUAUUGGGCGUAAAGAGCUCGUAGGCGGCUUGUCGCGUCGUCCGUGAAAACCUGCGGCUCAACUGCAGGCUGGCGGUCGAUACGGGCAGGCUGGAGUUCGGUAGGGGAGACUGGAAUUCCUGGUGUAGCGGUGAAAUGCACAGAUAUCAGGAGGAACACCGGUGGCGAAGGCGGG